AUUGAACGCUGGCGGCAGGCCUAACACAUGCAAGUCGAGCGGUAGCACAGGGAGCUUGCUCCUGGGUGACGAGCGGCGGACGGGUGAGUAAUGUCUGGGAAACUGCCCGAUGGAAGGGGAUAACUACUGGAAACGGUAGCUAAUACCGCAUAACGUCUUCGGACCAAAGUGGGGGACCUUCGGGCCUCACACCAUCGGAUGUGCCCAGAUGGGAUUAGCUAGUAGGUGAGGUAAUGGCUCACCUAGGCGACGAUCCCUAGCUGGUCUGAGAGGAUGACCAGCCACACUGGAACUGAGACACGGUCCAGACUCCUACGGGAGGCAGCAGUGGGGAAUAUUGCACAAUGGGCGCAAGCCUGAUGCAGCCAUGCCGCGUGUGUGAAGAAGGCCUUCGGGUUGUAAAGCACUUUCAGCGAGGAGGAAGGGUUCAGUGUUAAUAGCACUGUUCAUUGACGUUACUCGCAGAAGAAGCACCGGCUAACUCCGUGCCAGCCGCCGCCGUAAGAC
rnacentral:rRNA from 1 species